AUACAUACAUAUAUAUAUAUUUCUAUAUACAUAUAUAUAUGUAUAUAUACACACACACACACACGAAUAUAUGUGUGUGUGUGUGUGUGUGUGCCACUGUGUGUUUGUGUGUGUGUAUUCAAAUGGUUCUAAAGAAGCUAUAAGAUGUUGCAUGUGCACUGAACACUGGGAACAUUGUUCUUUAAAGCAGAAACAACUAUAAGCAAGUGGAAGUAGCUACAUAACUCCAGUUUGUUUGUUUUUUGUCAUUCAUUUAUUAAUCAAUAGUACACUCUGUACUGACCUACUGGUUCAUAUAAGAGUCCAGAGUGGAGAAAUUCAUAAUAAAUCACCCCUCUCCAUCUCUAGUUCUCACUAAUAAUGUAAAAUAUAAGUAAAAUGAGUUUUAACAAUUGGUUGCUGAUGUCUUAUAGUAAUCAUAAAAUAUUUAUAAAUAUAUAUAUAUUUAUAUAUGCAUAUACAUACACACAUACAAGUGCACACACAUGCAGACACAUAUAUAAAUACAUACAUAUAUAUGUAUGUAUGUAUUAGUUAAUAUAUCUGAAAAAGAAGCAUACUCUAAAACAACAGAGCAGUAGUAUCUUUAGAUGGUUAUUUGUUAUUGCCAGUCAGAAAGUCGCCAUUGGUUCUGCAGCUAUAAAGCGCUCAGCUGAAUAGGCAACUCAUCCCUUAUGCAGCUAAGUGCUAUAUAGGUGUGAAACCAAUGGUCAGUCUCUGACCAUCCAUAACAAACAACCUUCAAAGUAUGUGGCACGUAAAGCACCCACUACACUCACGGAGUGGUUGGUGUUAGGAAGGGCAU